rnacentral:sRNA from 12 species
CGUUAAGAGAUUGCCUCUGUCGUUACUUGCAAAUGCAAAUACGGGAAUGCAAUCGUCGA